AAGGCUUUAAGUUAAUUAAACUAUUAUCCUUCAAAGUUAAAAAUAUAGUCCUGUUAUAAGUCUUA
rnacentral:tRNA from 1 species